UUUUUUUUUUUUUUUUUUGAGGGGGUGGCAGUGGAGUGUCACUUUCAGUUACAAACUGGUAUUAAAGGGACAUCAUGGUCCCAGUAAAACUUUCCCUGGGAGUUCCCCCAACCGCAAUCGCCGGCGCCCGGGUAAGUACAGAAAGACCGGAGUGUGUACUAUCACGCCCAGCGGCGUUUAGAGCCGCUUAAAAUAGGGCGUAAUAGUACCCCUUCCGGUCUUAAGGGGUUAAUGAAGUUUUGGUGUAUAGAUCAUUCCCCUGCAAUUUAGGAUGUAAAUCACUUUGUUUAUGCAGCCCUAGUCGCACCUCAUUGCAUGUGACUUGCACAGCCUUCCUAAAACACUUCCUGAAAAGAGUCAUUUAACUAUUACUUACUUUAUUGCAAAUACUGUUUAAUUUAGAAUGCAUCUCCUGUUCUGUUAAUAGCUUGAUAGACCCUGCUGUGUCAUUUAAGUUUAAUUUACAGUAAAUAAAACCUUUUAAAGUAAGUUACAUCUGAUUGAAAAUGAAACCAUGUUUUCAUGUUGGCUGUCUCAGUCACAGCCAGGGGAGGUGUGGCUAGGGCUACAUAAACAGACACAAAGUGAUUUAAUUCCUAAAUGGCAGUGAAACUUCAGAGGCAUGACCUAUACACCAAAACUGCGUCAUUAUGCGAACAUAGUUUUGGUGACUAUGGUGGCCAGUGUUUGUGACCAAAUGGCUACUAAAAAAGACUGGACAUACCCCAUUUGCAAUACCUUGGGUUGUCUACUAUUGCAAAUGGUAUGCCAUUAUGGGUGUAAAUUUCAUUCCUGGGCUACUAUAAAGUCACAUGGGCAACGUAACUAAUCUGGCGAAUUUCAAUUUCAAAUGUAAGUUGCUAUAUUUGACCCUGUAACUUCCCAAAACGUCAUCAAACCUGUACAUAGGGGGUACUGUUUUAAACGUGAGGCUUUGCUAAAUAUACAAAUAUGUGUAUUUUAUUGCAGUAAAAGCAAAUGGUAUUAUGACAUUGACAGUUAAAAUGUCAUGUAGAACUAAAAAAAACUUAUCCCAUUAUUUUCAUCUUAAAUUAUGUUUCAUAGCUAAAUAUUUGAUAUUAAAUGAAAGCCCUGUUUUCCCUGAAUAAAAUGAUAUAUAAUAAGGGUGGGUGCAUUUAAUAUGAAAGAGGUGAAUUACGGUUGGACAGACAUGUAGCGCAAAUGCCAGAUUUUGUUUCGUUCACAACGUGUACAUUUGGCUCCGUCCUUAAGGGGUUAAGUUAACUUUGUUUUGGUGACUAGUGUCCCUUUGAGGGCAGCACCUGCUUGCUUCCAUCAUGUAUAUAAAUAAUAAUAAUGGUACACAUGUGCUCAUGCACCUGGGGAACACCAGCUAAUUGAACAAUCAAGAUACAGGUGAUUUGGUGAGUAAUUAUAUCUUGUACUUUAUAAAGCCUGUCAUUUGUAAUGUGGUUGUAUGUUGUCCUAAAGAAAGUUCCUGCUUGGAACUGAAACGUUGACUUAUGGAUUAUUUUGAAUAGAAGACUUUGGAAUAAAGAAUAUUUG